AAAGUAAUAGACUUCUAGUCUUUAAUUGUAUAUGUUUAUUGGGAUCCCCAUGAUCUGUUACAAAGCGACUCUUCCUAGGGUCCAACAACUAUAAAGUUGCAUCCAAUUAUAAUUGACAUCUCUUUACAGGACAAUGUAACAGUGGUGGUAGCAGUGGAUGGCAUUUUUGGUUUGCCAAGAACAAGUAGUCUGGAUCAAGUUAUGAGCCACCAAAACAUGGGGAAAAGUACUUUGCAAACUGAGCUGAGGUGGAUCAAUUUGUUUAUAAGCCCAUAUCACCAACUGGGGUUGCCAUGGAUUUCAAGCGGGCAACGCCA
ensembl:lncRNA